rfam:Salmo salar isolate Sally breed double haploid chromosome ssa01, whole genome shotgun sequence.
AGCACUAUGGUAUCUGCAGCCAGCCGCUACUGCAUUUGGACUGUUCAUUAGUCUGUGCAAGAGUAAUUCGGCAUUUGGCAUUGUUGUUCUCCUUGCCUCGUUGUGCCUGGAGUCCUGGUAUAUCUGUCGAUACAAAC